AGUGAACGCUGGCGGUAGGCCUAACACAUGCAAGUCGAACGGCAGCACAGUAAGAGCUUGCUCUUACGGGUGGCGAGUGGCGGACGGGUGAGGAAUACAUCGGAAUCUACUUUUUCGUGGGGGAUAACGUAGGGAAACUUACGCUAAUACCGCAUACGACCUACGGGUGAAAGCAGGGGAUCUUCGGACCUUGCGCGAUUGAUUGAGCCGAUGUCGGAUUAGCUAGUUGGCGGGGUAAAGGCCCACCAAGGCGACGAUCCGUAGCUGGUCUGAGAGGAUGAUCAGCCACACUGGAACUGAGACACGGUCCAGACUCCUACGGGAGGCAGCAGUAGGGAAUAUUGGACAAUGGGCGCAAGCCUGAUCCAGCCAUACCGCGUGGGUGAAGAAGGCCUUCGGGUUGUAAAGCCCUGUUGUUGGGAAAGAAAAGCAGCAGGUUAAUACCCCGCUGUUCUGACGGUACCCAAAGAAUAAGCACCGGCUAACUUCGUG
rnacentral:rRNA from 1 species